UCAGACCGGAGCAAUCCAGGUCAGUUUCUAUCUAUAUAUGAAUUUCUUCUAGUACGAAAGGACCGAAGAAACGCGGCCUAUGUUUUUACAAGCCACAGCUACCAAAUUAUGAUUUAAACUCAAUAAUAUAGUAGCCUAAUAAUUUUCUCAAGACAAGAGUUG
rnacentral:rRNA from 1 species